rnacentral:lncRNA from 1 species
CGCCGUGAAGGAGAUGGUAAAGUUCUCGAAAGAAUUGGAAGCGCAGCUCAUCCCAGAAUGGAAAGACGCAUUUCUCAACUAUUGGCAGCUCAAGAAACACAUCAAAAAGAUUAAGUUGGCAACAAAAUCCAAACAUGCUCAACACUCCCACUGCGAUUUCGGUCGAUCCAUUUUCGACCCCAUUCGCUCUCUCGCCGGAAAAAUCUCCGCUGCCGCCGUCCACAAAUGCACCCAAAAUAAUCAGGUAAACUACUAAUCAAAUCAAAUCGAGAUUUUUUUCGAUUAAAAUUCUGUUUCUUCACCUUAAUUAAAAUUUGUUCUUCGUUUUCGUAUUGAUUUCUUUUUUCUUUUAGUUUUAUUUGUUAGUUGGAAAUAUUGUCAGGCUGUCUUGUAACGCACUCUCGAAAGAUGGUAGAAUUUGUGAAAGUUCGAAGAAUUUUGCACGAAAAAUAUUACUGAAUUUUCUUUUUUUUCACAAAAAAUAGUAGAAGAGAAUGCAAUCACGAUACGUCAUUUUCGAGCAAAAUUUAGUUCACAUUCUAAAAUAAAGCGAGUGUAGUUACACUGUACUGACAAUAAUAUUACGUCAUUACAUCAUAUAAAUUAUAUAUCUUGACAUAGUUCUAUUCUUUAUGAUUACUAAUUAUUAAUGCCAAAGUUGCUUCAUUUCUGUUUUUAUAUUGUCUUUUAUCAAUGUGUUAAAGCAAGAAACAGAUUUUCGUUCACUUUUGAUCAUGAAGAAAUCGUGAGAAAGGGAAACUAAUUUUAACAACCUGAAAAUGAUAUAAACCAAUAAAAGUCGUGUUUUAAUAUUUUCGGUGAGAUAUUUUUCCUGUUUUUAUUUUUAUCUAUUUUCUUUUUUAUAAAAUGAUAGUACUGUUUUUGCAGAUGAAAAGCAAAAUUAGUAUAAUUGGUGAAGACGAAGAAGAAGUUGAUGAAACUGAGCAUGCUCAGCUCUUCUCUGAAGAAUAUGAGGUUAUUAUUGAAAUAGCAAUAUUUUUGUUAUUGUUUUCAGUAGGAAUUCGUAAUUGCAUCGAUUCUUUUGAUUUCUUUUUCAUAAAGUUAUACUGGUUACUGGUUAGCUAUAUAGAUUGUUGCACUAGACCUAAGAGACGUGCCAAAAACAUUUAUCUUAAUUGAAUCUUCUUUUUUUAGUAGUGGAGUACACUUUUAAUAAUAAAAACCAAAUGUUUGAAAUUUAUUAAUUAGUAGUGUUCCUUUUCAAGAAUAGUGCUAAGAAUAAUUUAAAUGACUACACUAGAAAGUAAGGAUAGCGACAAAUUAAUAGUUAGCUACGAGACUUGAACGUGGUAUAUUUUUUCAUUUGCAUCUACUAUAUUUGGGUUUUUAUUUUUAUGAAUGAAACAGGUUAAGCUAUUUUUCGAGAUUUUAGACGAUGAGCUGAAGAAAGUAAAUGAAUUUUAUACGGAAAAAGAAAGUGAAUUUGUUGAAAGAGGAGAAUUACUGAAUAAGCAGCUGCAGAUAUUGCUGAACCUCAAACGUGUUCUAAGCGCUCGGCGCCACAGGAAAAUCCCGCCGCCUAAGACCGGCGGCGGCGACUCGGGGGUUCUCUC